rnacentral:misc_RNA from 1 species
GCAAAUCGGGUUUUUUGUGUGUGCAGUUUUGUUUGUUGAGUUGUGGUUAUUAAUACUGAAGUACGUCUAGAGUGGUAUGAACACCAUAGCAGAAUAAGAACGGUCAAAGUCAGUUUAAAAAGCAUACAUCAGUUGAGGAAAGCGAUCGGUGAAGAGGAAAGCUUUUAAGUUUCUCAAUGUUGAAAAAUUGAGGCAACUGACAGUCCAGGCUAAAGCCUCGUGGAACAGUUUUGGGAUUGGUGGACAUUUUUUCUUCGUCUUCCUGCUCACUUUCAUGCUUUGUGCUGUUGUCCAUGAUGCAAAGAACGAACGUGGAUUUAUCCUGGGCUGUCUUCUGCCAGUGGUGGCGCCGGUAGCCGAUAUUGUCCGUCACCUUAUGAGUUUUUUUCUGAACGUGUUUAACCGACUGUCCCUGUGUGUUCGACGAUGUCAUCCCGAGGUUAUGUCCAUGCUGUGGGACGUUGCUCUUGAUCUUAAGUCUUUGGGCUUCGAUAUUGUAAAUGAGUUGGCUUUUAUUCCAGGCAUCUUCCUAACAUCUGUCGGUACUGGGAUGUUACUCCUGUUAAACAUUACAGCCGAGGUUACCUCCACGAUCACGCGGCUGGCAUUGGUCUUCACGCUAGCUUUUGUGGUGUUACUGCUGGCGAAACCAUAUUCGCGGGGUUACGUAGACAUGCUUUUCACGAAGCUUCUCAGAUUUUGGAGGAAAUUGAGAAGACUGAUUGAAGAAGGAGAUUGAGAUAUUUUCAGUUUUAAUUCUUUUUUAUCUGUAAUAAUUGACAAACUGUU